rnacentral:misc_RNA from 1 species
UGCGUCGUGAGGCCCAGCCUUGUGUUGAGAUUUCCUUCGCCGGGAAUUCUCCAAACCCAUCGGCGACCGUCAGUGCCCGCAUCGCAACACACUGCGACUACGGCACCUGAUGUCGCCAAAAAUCGUCAU